AAACCUCUUUUCUCAGGGAAGAAGCUCUGACGGUACCUGAGGAAUCAGCCUCGGCUAACUCCGUGCCAGCAGCCGCGGUAAUACGGAGGAGGCAAGCGUUAUCCGGAAUUAUUGGGCGUAAAGCGUCCGCAGGUGGCGAUUCAAGUCUGCUGUCAAAGCACGGGGCUUAACUCCGUUAAGGCAGUGGAAACUGAAUAGCUAGAGUGCCGUAGGGGUAGAGGGAAUUCCCGGUGUAGCGGUGAAAUGCGUAGAGAUCGGGAAGAACAUCGGUGGCGAAAGCGCUCUACUGGACGGCAACUGACACUCAGGGACGAAAGCUAGGGGAGCGAAUGGGAUUAGAUACCCCAGUAGUCCUAGCUGUAAACGAUGGAUACUAGGUGUAGCUUGUAUCGACCCGAGCUGUGCCGAAGCUAACGCGUUAAGUAUCCCGCCUGGGGAGUACGCACGCAAGUGUGAAACUACAAAGGAAAUUGACGGGGGGCCAGCACAAAGCGGUGGAGUAAUGUGGUUUAAUUCGAUGCAACGCGAAGAACCUUACCAGGGGCUGGACAUGUCCGGAAUUCCGGUUGAAAGUUGGGAGUGCCUUCGCGCAGCCGGAACACAGGGUGGUGCAUGCAUGUCGUCAGCUCGUGUCGUGGGAUGUUGGGUUAAGUCCCGCAACGAGCGCAACCCUCGUCUUUAGUUGC
rnacentral:rRNA from 1 species